AGCGGCGGACGGGUGAGUAACACUUAGGAAUCUACCUAGUAGUGGGGGAUAGCUCGGGGAAACUCGAAUUAAUACCGCAUACGACCUACGGGAGAAAGGGGGCAACUUGUUGCUCUCGCUAUUAGAUGAGCCUAAGUCGGAUUAGCUAGUUGGUGGGGUAAAGGCCUACCAAGGCGACGAUCUGUAGCUGGUCUGAGAGGAUGAUCAGCCACACCGGGACUGAGACACGGCCCGGACUCCUACGGGAGGCAGCAGUGGGGAAUAUUGGACAAUGGGGGCAACCCUGAUCCAGCCAUGCCGCGUGUGUGAAGAAGGCCUUUUGGUUGUAAAGCACUUUAAGCAGUGAAGAAGACCUAACGGUUAAUACCCGUUAGCGAUGACAUUAGCUGCAGAAUAAGCACCGGCUAACUCUGUGCCAGCAGCCGCGGUAAUACAGAGGGUGCAAGCGUUAAUCGGAAUUACUGGGCGUAAAGCGAGCGUAGGUGGCUUGAUAAGUCAGAUGUGAAAUCCCCGGGCUUAACCUGGGAACUGCAUCUGGUACUGUUAGGCUAGAAUAGGUGAGAGGAAGGUAGAAUUUCCAGUGUAGCGGUGAAAUGCGUAGAGAUCUGGGAGGAUACCGAUGGCGAACGCAGCCUUCUGGCAUCAUAUUGACACCUGAGUCGGAAGCGUGAGUGGCAAACAGGCAUAUAUACUUGUAGUUCACGCCCA
rnacentral:rRNA from 1 species